rnacentral:tRNA from 1 species
ACGUAUUUGGUUUAAGUUAAUAGAAUUGAAAUUUGUCAAGUUUUAGGUAUUCGUUAUAUGAAUAAUACGUU